GAUGAACGCUGGCGGCGUGCCUAAUACAUGCAAGUCGAGCGAACAGACGAGGAGCUUGCUCCUCUGACGUUAGCGGCGGACGGGUGAGUAACACGUGGAUAACCUACCUAUAAGACUGGGAUAAUUUCGGGAAACCGGAGCUAAUACCGGAUAAUAUAUUGAACCGCAUGGUUCAAUAGUGAAAGACGGUUUUGCUGUCACUUAUAGAUGGAUCCGCGCCGCAUUAGCUAGUUGGUAAGGUAACGGCUUACCAAGGCAACGAUGCGUAGCCGACCUGAGAGGGUGAUCGGCCACACUGGAACUGAGACACGGUCCAGACUCCUACGGGAGGCAGCAGUAGGGAAUCUUCCGCAAUGGGCGAAAGCCUGACGGAGCAACGCCGCGCGAGUGAUGAAGGUCUUCGGAUCGUAAAACUCUGUUAUUAGGGAAGAACAAAUGUGUAAGUAACUAUGCACGUCUUGACGGUACCUAAUCAGAAAGCCACGGCUAACUACGUG
rnacentral:rRNA from 1 species